UACGGAGGGUGCGAGCGUUGUCCGGAAUCACUGGGCGUAAAGAGCGCGCAGGCGGUCGUUCAAGUCGAGUGUGAAAGCCCCCGGCUCAACUGGGGAGGGUCACUCGAUACUGAUCGACUUGAAGGCAGGAGAGGGAAGCGGAAUUCCCGGUGUAGUGGUGAAAUGCGUAGAGAUGCGGAGGAACACCAGUGGCGAAAGCGGCUUUCUGGUCCUUAACUGACGCUGAGGCGCGAAAGCAUGGGGAGCGAACGGG
rnacentral:rRNA from 1 species